AACGAACGCUGGCGGCAGGCUUAACACAUGCAAGUCGAACGCCCCGCUAGGGUAUUGGCAGCCGGGUGUGUAUCGCGUGGGAACAUACCCUUUCCUGCUUAAUAGCUCCGGGAAACUGGAAUUAAUACCGCAUACGCCCUCCGGGGGAAAGAUUUAUCGGGGAAGGAUUGGCCCGCGUUGGAUUAGCUAGUUGGUGGUGUAAAGUCCUACCAAGGCGACGCUCCAUAGCUGGUCUGAGAGGAUGAUCAGCCACAUUGGGACUGAGACACGGCCCAAACUCCUACGGGAGGCAGCAGUGGGGAAUAUUGGAAAAUGGGCGCAAGCCUGAUCCAGCCAUGACGCGUGAGUGAUGAAGGCAUUAGGGUUGUAAAGCUCUUUCAACGAUGAAGAUAAUGACGGUAGUCGGAGAAGAAGCCCCGGCUAACUUCGUG
rnacentral:rRNA from 1 species